rnacentral:lncRNA from 1 species
ACUGAAUGGGAAAGUUCAGUUUAGGGUUUAAAAACCCUAAUGCUGACUGAAAGAAAAAGUUCAGUUUAGGGUUUAAAACCCUAAAUUGACUAAGAGGAAAAAGUUCACCUAAUGCUGACUAAAGGAAAAGAGUUCAGUUUAGGGUUUAAAACCCUAACGCUGACUAACUAGGAAAAAGUUCAGUUUAGGGUUUAAAACCCUAACGCUGACUAACUGGAAAAAGUUCAGUUUAGGGUUUAAAACCCUAAUGCUGACUAAAUGGAAAAGAGUUCA